GACGAACGCUGGCGGCGUGCUUAACACAUGCAAGUCGAACGGAAAGGCCCUGCUUUUGUGGGGUGCUCGAGUGGCGAACGGGUGAGUAACACGUGAGUAACCUGCCCUUGACUUUGGGAUAAAUUCAGGAAACUGGGGCUAAUACCGGAUAGGAGCUCCUGCUGCAUGGUGGGGGUUGGAAAGUUUCGGCGGUUGGGGAUGGACUCGCGGCUUAUCAGCUUGUUGGUGGGGUAGUGGCUUACCAAGGCUUUGACGGGUAGCCGGCCUGUGAGGGUGACCGGCCACAUUGGGACUGAGAGACGGCCCAGACUCCUACGGGAGGCAGCAGUGGGGAAUAUUGCACAAUGGGCGGAAGCCUGAUGCAGCAACGCCGCGUGCGGGAUGACGGCCUUCGGGUUGUAAACCGCUUUCGCCUGUGACGAAGCGUGAGUGACGGUAAUGGGUAAAGAAGCACCGGCUAACUACGUG
rnacentral:rRNA from 1 species